UCGGAUUAGACUAAGAGGUUCUGGAUAUCAGGACAGAGAUCACUCACCUCGGAUUAGACAAAGAGCUUCUGGAUAUCAGGACAGAGAUCACUCACCUCGGAUUAGACAAAGAGCAUCUAGAUAUCAGGACAGAGAUCACUCACCUCGGAUUACACAAAGACUUUUUCAACAACAAGCAAGACUCACAUGAUAUUCUCCAAACACCCUGCAGGGCCGUCAUCCCAGUUAAUUGCAAGAGGAAGUGAUGCAGGUACAGAGGACAAAGAGCCAGAUGUCUGGUCAGCACCCGGUGAAGGCGAGUUGGAAAGCUGCCGUUACCGUCAAUAUUUCUCGCCAACGUGCAAUCAUUGGACAAUAAACUAGACGAGGUACGAUCACGAAUAUCCUCCCAACGGGACAUCAAAAAAUGUAAUAUCCAAUAUUUCACGUAAUCGUGGCUGAAUGUGACGACAUGGAUAUUCAGCUAGCGGGAUACACGCUGCACCGGCAGGAUAGAACAGCACACUCCGGUAAGACAAGGGGGGACGGUCUGUGCAUAUUUGUAAACAACAGCUGGUGCACAAAAUCUAAGGAAGUCUCUAGAUUUUGCUCACCUGAAGUAGAGUAUAUUGUGAUAAAUUGCAGGCCACACUACUUGCCUAGAGAGUUCUCAGUUAUACUUUAUGUGGCUGUUUAUUUACCACCACAAAUAGUUGCUGGCACUAAGACCACACUCAGUCAGCUGUAUAAGGAAAUAAGCAAACAGGAAACCAGUCACCCAGAGGUGGCGCUCCUAGUGGCCGGAGACUUUAAUGCAGGGAAACUUAAAUAUGUUCUACCAAACCUCUAUCAACAUGUUAAAUGUGCAACCAGAGGGAAACAAAUUCUAGAUCACCUGUACUCCACACACAGAGACGUGUACAAAGCUCUCCCUCGCCCUCCAUUUGAUAAAUCCGACCUCAACUCUAUCCUCCUGAUUCCUGCUUACAAGCAAAAAUUAAAGCAGGAAGCACCAGUGACUCAGUCUAUAAAAAAGUGGUCAGAUGAAGCAGAUGCUAAACGACAGGACUGUUUAGCUAUCACAGACUGGAACAUGUUUCGAGAUUCUUCCGAUGACAUUGAGGAAUACACCACAUCAGUCACUGGCUUUAUCAAUAAGUGCAUCGAGGACGUCGUCCCCACAGGGACUGUACGUACAGUAUAUCACAAAAGUGAGUACACUUUUGGU
ensembl:lncRNA